CGGGACGGGUGAGUAAUGUCUGGGAAACUGCCUGAUGGAGGGGGAUAACUGCUGGAAACGGUAGCUAAUACCGCAUAACGUCGCAAGACCAAAGAGGGGGACCUUCGGGCCUCUUGCCAUCGGAUGUGCCCAGAUGGGAUUAGCUAGUAGGUGGGGUAACGGCUCACCUAGGCGACGAUCCCUAGCUGGUCUGAGGGGAUGGCCAGCCACACUGGAACUGAGACACGGUCCAG
rnacentral:rRNA from 1 species